GACGAACGCUGGCGGCGUGCUUAACACAUGCAAGUCGAACGGUGAAGCGCCUUCCUUUUUGGUGGGUGUGGAGGAGUGGCGAACGGGUGAACAACACGUGAGUAACCUUCCCCGUUCUUCUGGAUAACCGCAUGAAAGUGUUGCUACAACGGGAUAUUCUGGGACUGUCGCAUGAUGGGUCUGGGCAAGAUAUUGUGUCGGUGGGGGAUGGGCUCGCGGCCUAUCAGCUUGUUGGGGGGGUGAUGGCCUACCAAGGCGGUGAGGGGUAGCCGGCCUGAGAGGAUGGGCGACAACGGUGGGGCGAAAAGGCCCAGAAGCCUACGAGAGGCAGCAGCAGGGAAGAUUAUACAACGGGCGAAAGCAGGAUGCAGCAGCGACGCGGGUUGGAAGAAGGACUUCGGCUGGUAGAGAACCUCUUUCGGGAGUGAAGCAGUCCGGCCUAGUUUGUGCGUGGGUUGACGGUACCUGAAUAAGAAGCGCCGGCUAACUACGUG
rnacentral:rRNA from 1 species